ensembl:lncRNA
CACAGUCACUCUCACAGACACACGCACACAGUCACUCUCACAGACACACGCACACAGUCACUCUCACAGACACACGCACACAGUCACUCUCACAGACACAGUCACUCACAGACUCACAGACACAAUCACUCUCACAGACACACAGACAGUCACUCUCACAGACACCCAGACACACACACAGUCACUCUCAGACACACACACACAGUCGCUCUCACAGACACACACAGUCGCUCUCACAGACACACACAGUCGCUCUCACAGACACACAGUCGCUCUCACACACACACAGUCGCUCUCACAGACACACAGUCGCUCUCACAGACACACAGUCGCUCUCAGACACACACAGUCGCUCUCACAGACACACACAGUCGCUCUCUCACACACACAGUCGCUCUCUCACACACACAGUCGCUCUCACAGACACACACACACACACAGAGGUACUCUCUCACAGACACACAGAUACUCUCUCACACACACACAGAGGUACUCUCUCACACACACAGAGGUACUCUCUCUCACACACACACAGAGGUACUCUCUCACACACACACACAGAGGUACUCUCUCUCACACACACACACAGAGGUACUCUCUCUCACACACACACACAGAGGUACUCUCUCUCUCACACACACACAGAGGUACUCUCUCUCUCACACACACACAGAGGUACUCUCUCUCUCACACACACACAGAGGUACUCUCUCUCUCACACACACACAGAGGUACUCUCUCUCACACACACACACACACACAGAGGUACUCUCUCUCUCACACACACACAGAGGUACUCUCUCUCUCACACACACACAGAGGUACUCUCUCUCUCACACACACAGAGGUACUCUCUCUCUCACACACACAGAGGUACUCUCUCUCUCACACACACACAGAGGUACUCUCUCUCUCACACACACACAGAGGUACUCUCUCUCUCACACACACACAGAGGUACUCUCUCUCUCACACACACACAGAGGUACUCUCUCUCUCACACACACACAGAGGUACUCUCUCUCUCACACACACACACAGAGGUACUCUCUCUCUCACACACACACACAGAGGUACUCUCUCUCUCACACACACACAGAGGUACUCUCUCUCUCACACACACACAGAGGUACUCUCUCUCUCACACACACACACAGAGGUACUCUCUCUCUCACACACACACACACAGAGGUACUCUCUCACGGACACACACAGAGGUAGUCUCACGGACACACACACAGGUACUCUCACGGACACACACAGAGGUACUCUCACAGUCGCGCGUGCACACAGAGACAGACGGACAGUCGCGCACAGACACAGACAGUCGCGCACAGACACAGACAGUCGCGCACAGACACAGACAGUCGCGCACAGACACAGACAGUCGCGCACAGACACAGACAGUCGCACAGACACACAGUCACUCGCACAGACACACACAGUCACUCGCACAGACACACACAGUCACUCGCAGACAGCACACACAGUCACUCGCACAGACACACAGUCACUCGCACAGACACACACAGUCACUCGCACAGACACACAGUCACUCGCACAGACACACACAGUCACUCGCACAGACACACAGUCACUCGCACAGACACACAGUCACUCGCACAGACACACACAGUCACUCGCACAGACACACACAGUCACUCGCACAGACACACACAGUCACUCGCACAGACACACACAGUCACUCGCACAGACACACACAGUCACUCGCACAGACACACACAGUCACUCGCACAGACACACACAGUCACUCUCACACAGUCACUCUCACAGACACACAGUCACUCUCACACAGUCACUCUCACAGACACACACACACACACACACAGAGGUCACUCUCACAGACACACAGUCACUCUCACACACACAGUCACUCUCACAGACACAGACACACAGUCACACACACACACAGAGGUACUCUCACAGACACACACACACACACACACACAGUCACACAGUCACAGACACAGUCACA